UACGGAAGGCAGCAGUGGGGAAUAUUGCACAAUGGGCGCAAGCCUGAUGCAGCCAUGCCGCGUGUAUGAAAAAGGCCUUCGGGUUGUAAAGUACUUUCAGUCGUGAGGAAGGUGUUAAGGUUAAUAACCUUAGCAAUUGACGUUAGCGACAGAAGAAGCACCGGCUAACUCCGUGCCAGCAGCCGCGGUAAUACGGAGGGUGCGAGCGUUAAUCGGAAUUACUGGGCGUAAAGGGCACGCAGGCGGUUAAUUAAGUUGGAUGUGAAAUCCCCGGGCUUAACCUGGGAAUGGCAUUCAAGACUGGUUAGCUAGAGUCUUGUAGAGGGGGUAGAAUUCCAUGUGUAGCGGUGAAAUGCGUAGAGAUGUGGAGGAAUACCGGUGGCGAAGGCGGCCCCUGGACAAAGACUGACGCUCAUGUGCGAAAGCGUGGGGAGCAAACGAGGAUUAGAU
rnacentral:rRNA from 1 species